rnacentral:rRNA from 1 species
CGUAGGGUGCGAGCGUUAAUCGGAAUUACUGGGCGUAAAGCGUGCGCAGGCGGUUUUGUAAGACAGGCGUGAAAUCCCCGGGCUCAACCUGGGAACUGCGCUUGUGACUGCAAGGCUAGAGUACGGCAGAGGGGGUGGAACUCCACGUGUAGCAGUGAAAUGCGUAGAGAUGUGGAGGAACACCAAUGGCGAAGGCAGCCCCCUGGGUCGAUACUGACGCUCAUGCACGAAAGCGUGGGUAGCAAACAGGAUUAGAUACCCUGGUAGUCCACGCCCUAAACGAUGUCAACUAGGUGUUGGGUGGGUAAAACCAUUUAGUACCGGAGCUAACGCGUGAAGUUGACCGCCUGGGGAGUACGGCCGCAAGGUUA